CCUCGGGAUUCAGCAGUGGGGAAUAUUGGACAAUGGGCGAAAGCCUGAUCCAGCCAUGCCGCGUGUGUGAAGAAGGCCUUCGGGUUGUAAAGCACUUUCAGUGGGGAAGAAAGCCUUGGGGCUAAUACCCUCGAGGAAGGACAUCACCCACAGAAGAAGCACCGGCUAACUCCGUGCCAGCAGCCGCGGUAAUACGGAGGGUGCGAGCGUUAAUCGGAAUUACUGGGCGUAAAGCGCGCGUAGGCGGUCUGAUAAGCCGGUUGUGAAAGCCCCGGGCUCAACCUGGGAACGGCAUCCGGAACUGUCAGGCUAGAGUGCAGGAGAGGAAGGUAGAAUUCCCGGUGUAGCGGUGAAAUGCGUAGAGAUCGGGAGGAAUACCAGUGGCGAAGGCGGCCUUCUGGACUGACACUGACGCUGAGGUGCGAAAGCGUGGGUAGCAAACAGGAUUAGAUACCCCGGUAGUC
rnacentral:rRNA from 1 species